rnacentral:rRNA from 1 species
CCUACGGGAGGCAGCAGUAGGGAAUAUUGCACAAUGGGGGAAACCCUGAUGCAGCGACGCCGCGUGAAGGAUGAAGUAUUUCGGUAUGUAAACUUCUAUCAGCAAGGAAGAAAAUGACGGUACUUGACUAAGAAGCCCCGGCUAAAUACGUGCCAGCAGCCGCGGUAAU